rnacentral:lncRNA from 9 species
CAUUUUUGCUGAGCCACAACGGGAACUCCAAGAAUUCUACAUUCUUUAUCUUCCUCCCUCCCCUCCAAAGCCCCUUCUUCCUGCCCUCUCUCCCUGCUCACAGCCUCUGGAGCCCCUCGGGUUCAGGGUGAUGGGACCUGCUCCCGUGUUUUCCAUCAGGACUUUUCAUCCCAGAGCGUGAAGAGGGCACGGCUGCUGCUGAUAACAAGCCAUGGGGACGUGCUUCCGUCUUCAUCGCAAGGGUUACAAACAAAGUCCCCUCCACCAGGGACUCUGUCGUCCAGCUAUCCACACCCAAGCCCUCUUGACGACAUUGCCACCCAACUAUGGCUUGGGGUCUCUGAGGUCUGCAGGAGGAACUGGCUGGCCAGAUGGUCCCUGCCAUCCAGAGCAAGAGCUAGUGAGAACUGCUUCCACAGGCUUUCGAGACUCUGCUUUCCCGCUGGAGCCUCCGGUCUCAGCCACACUCUGCCCAGGAAAGAUGCUGCAGCGUCCACAGCCCCCCUCACCUCCUUUUGGUGAUUGUCCCAUAUCCCUCAGGACUUGGCUGGCACAGAAAAUAAAGAAGAACCAAAAACCUGAACCAAGAGUCAUGACUCAUCAUUGUGGAGUCUCCAGUGUCAUCCUAACAUUAAAAGAAAAAAAAAAAAAAAAAGAGGAAAGAUAACAGCACAGACGUUAAAAGAUGGAUUGAAUUUGUUCCAGUUACAAGUGAUCUUUAUUGUUUCUGAGAGAGAAUUGCUUUUCUUUUCUUUUUUCUUUUUGUUUUCUUCUUUUUACAGCAGCACCUGCAGCAUAUGGAGGUUCCCAGGUUAGGGGUCGAAUCGGAGCUGCAGCUGCCGGCCUAUAGCACAGACACAGCAACACCAGAUCCAAACCACAUCUAUGACCUAUGCUGCAGCUUGCGGCAAUCAGAUCCUUAACCCACUGAGCAAGGCCGGGGAUCAAACCCUCACAGAGACAACAUCAGGUCCUUAACCCACUAAGCCACAAAGGGAACUCCAAAUUCCUUUUCUAAUAAGCUCAUGUUACAGUAAAAAUUCCUGGGUUUUCUACCUCAUCUAAAU